rnacentral:rRNA from 1 species
GGUUUUCGGACCUAGAGACCGGCGCACGGGUGCGUAACGCGUAUGCAAUCUACCUUUUACAGAGGGAUAGCCCAGAGAAAUUUGGAUUAAUACCUCAUAGUAUUAUGACUCGGCAUCGAGAUAUAAUUAAAGUCACAACGGUAAAAGAUGAGCAUGCGUCCCAUUAGCUUGUUGGUAAGGUAACGGCUUACCAAGGCAACGAUGGGUAGGGGUCCUGAGAGGGAGAUCCCCCACACUGGUACUGAGACACGGACCAGACUCCUACGGGAGGCAGCAGUGAGGAAUAUUGGUCAAUGGGCGCAAGCCUGAACCAGCCAUGCCGCGUGCAGGAUGAAGCAUCUAUGGUGUGUAAACUGCUUUUGUACGAGAAGAAACACUCCUACGUGUAGGAGCUUGACGGUAUCGUAAGAAUAAGGACCGGCUAACUCCGUGCCAGCAGCCGCGGUAAUACGGAGGGUCCAAGCGUUAUCCGGAAUCAUUGGGUUUAAAGGGUCCGUAGGCGGUUUUGUAAGUCAGUGGUGAAAGCCCAUCGCUCAACGGUGGAACGGCCAUUGAUACUGCAAGACUUGAAUUAUUGGGAAGCAACUAGAAUAUGUAGUGUAGCGGUGAAAUGCUUAGAUAUUACAUGGAAUACCAAUUGCGAAGGCAGGUUGCUACCAAUACAUUGACGCUGAUGGA